CACCUCAAGGGGGCAUACAUGAACUGACAUGUGCUUUCUAGCUGCAUUGUUGACUUCAACAGAGGCAAUAUAAAGUCGACGCCAAGCUAAAGCUACUAGGUCAAACAAACAACAGCGUUUUUAUGCUCUGUGUGUUCCGACUCACUAUGGAGGAUUGUAUUUCAAGACUAAAAAGUUUCUCAAAACUGGACUCCCAGUCUAAACAGAAGAUGAUAAGUGACGGAAGACCAACGCCGCAGCUAAAAGGUUUGCUUCAAACUACGGGACAGAAGAGUCGUUCUUUUCAAAUGGAGUGGUACAAACGGAAAGACUGGCUGUGUGGCUGUCCUGUAAGAAGCCGCCUUUACUGCUUUCCUUGCCUUUUGUUCUCAUCGAGUGAUAGCGUCUGGACUAACUCGGGAUAUUGUGACAUGAAAAACUUGCAAAGAAGCCUCAGCCAACAUGAAAGAUCAGCCACGCACAUUCAAAGCCAGAUUUCCUUAAAAACUUUUGGAAAUUCAAGGAUCGAUUUGGCGGUGGAUGAACAACGGAGACUAAACGUUAGCGUCCACAAUGCUAAGGUGAAGGAAAACCGAGAGAUUUUAAAAGAUCUUAUUACUGCAACCUGUUUCUUAGCCAAACAGGAGCUAGCAUUUGGUGGUAACGACGAGAGGGCAAACUCCUCUAAUCGGGGCAACUAUGUAGAACUGUUACAUGCAUUUGCCGAGAAAGAUGAGAGGCUAGCUAGACAUUUAAAAACAUCCGCUGUGUUUUCAGGCUUGUUAAACAGGAUACAGAACGAUUUAAUUGAAGCAGUUGCUGAAGUGAUCAGAAAGGAUAUUAAAAAGGAGGUUAGUGCCGCCUCAUUUGUUGCAGUAGAAGUAGACGAGACUACUGAUAUCACAAACAAAGCCCAGAUUUCUGUUGUUUUGCGCUAUGUGACUUUAAAAAGUGAUGCAUGUGAAGUGAAGGAGGCGUUUUUGGGCUUCGGUGACGUAAGCGACGAUAGACGAGCCCCCGCCAUAGCUGCUUAUGUCUUGGGUGUUUUGGAAGAAUACAAGUGUGUUGAAAAGUUAGUGGCUCAAACUUAUGGUGGGGCUGCCGUGAUGGGAUCGGAGCUCAACGGAGUGCAGGCCAAAAUUAAAGAGAAAGUCCCCGAGGCCAUGUUCACUCACAGCUAUGCGCACAAACUAAACCUGGUCCUCAUGGAUUCAGCGAAGUGUAUGCCUGAAAUUAGAACUUUUUUCCAAACAGUUGAGGGACUCGGUACUUUUUUCAGCAAGUCCACGAAACGUACCCACUUACUGGAUGAUGUUGUGAAGCGACGUUUACCAAGAGCAGCGCCGCCACGAUGGAGCUCAAACUCCCGGAUGCUGCAGAUAAUAAGCAUGCAUCUUUCGGAUUUGUGUGCUGUAUUCCGCAUUAUAAAUGAAAAACCUGGCAGCUGGGACAAUGAAACUCUAAUGAUGGCUGCAGGAUAUGAUCGGUGGCUGUCGAAAACAUCAACGUGCUUCUACCUUAUGGCAUAUGAGGGCGUUUUUAUGGAAACUGAUGCCCUUUUUAAAGUACUGCAAGACAAAGUCAUGGACCACGGAUAUUGUUGUGCACGAAUCCGCGACACACUUUCAGUUAUUGAACACAUGAGACAGGAGUUUGACAUUUUUUACGAGAAGUAUGAGCAGAAAUGCAACGCGCUUGGCCUGACCGAUGGUGGCAGCAAACAGUCAGCCAGAGAGGAGAAGAAAAGAAUGUAUUAUAACAUCCUGGACAAUGUCGGUGUUCAAUUGAAAGCUCGGAUUGACCACUUUAGUGAGCUAGCUUUCCUUGACUUGGUCGACUUUGCCAAAAUUCAUGAAAUGUCACAUCAUAUGGACGACACCAAACUGCAGAGUCUGUCAAAGUAUGCAAGAUUCUUUGACUUUGUAAGACUAAAGGCUGAUCUUGUCGGACUGUACAGCUCACCAUCACUCAGGAAUGUAUGCCAAUCACCUGGACAGCUUCUCAGCUUUUUGGCCCAGAAGGAUCUAAUCCAGACUGUUCCAGAGGCGACAAAGUUACUCCAGCUGGCUCUCACUCAUCCAGCUACAACAUCAGUGGAGAGGUCAUUCUCUGCAUCAAAACGACUGGAAACAUACAGUAGGAAGAGAGCUGAUCAUGGACGUCUUUCUUCUUUGGCCAUAAUCGCCAUUGAGGCGGAGAGACUCUCAAAACUAAGAGCAAAUAAGGAAGACUUUUACAACCAAGUCAUAGAGCUUUUCGUGGAGAAGGAUCAGCGCAUGGACUUCAUCUAUAAGUAAAGGAUCAAGGCUACUGGGUGAUACCACUACCAGUGAUACGCAGAAACCAGCUUUCAACUUUUUUGGACUAUGGAAGGGGACGUCCUCAGACUCUAAACCAUCCAGCACAAAAGAUGACUUCGGCUUUAACCUAGAGGAUGCUCU